UUGAGAGUAGGGUUGGACUAAAAACAUCUUAAGAUAGGUUAGAUUGGUACCCGGGGGUCGACCAUUUGUGAGACAAGGUCAAAAUUAGACCUUUAGCCACUAAAAUGAGGGCCUAGGGCAAAAUAGAGGGGCAUUUGAAGCAUAGAGGUUAGGAUUUGAGAUCUAGCUUAAAGUUCUUUCCAAAGACAUAAGAAUUGUUGGGAGAAGAUUUUUGAAGACUUAGAAAUUAUUUUUCAAAGUUAGGAUUUGUAUCAGUGAUUUGAGUUUUAUAUAAUAUAAUUAGGGCUAGCAAUUUUGGCUAGUUUGUGCAAUUGGUGUGACAUCUAUGGUUAAAAAUUUGAUACUAUUUGGAUUAUUGGAUGUGCUAACUGUAUACAAAAUUUUGUGAUCAUAUAAUGGCAUGGUUUAGAGAUAUCUAGUUUUUAGCACAAGAAGAUUUCGGAAGGUGGCAGUUUGAGGUUGGAUAGGAUUUCUAUGAUAUCUGAAGAUCUAUCGAUCGGAUUAAGGUAAAAAUUGGCAUGGUAUUGAAGGACUUGAAGAUCAAGCUACACACCAAUUUUGAAACAAAGUUAACGGUUGAAAAGGAAGAAACCAUUGUUGGGAUUUUUGCUUCACUUUUGAAGUUCGUAGCAGAGUGACAUCAGUGCUAUUUUUGGAAGUUUUCUCACAAUGUGUUUAUUGGAUUGGGCUGAAAAUUUGUGAGCAUAUAGAAGACUUACAUUGACAAUUGCAUGCAAAAUUUCACAUCAAGUGGAUGGUUGGAUUGGAUGUUAUAGCUUGUUAAAGCUCACUAAUUAGGAUUGGGCUUACAAGAAAAAUCUAAAUUGCUUAAAUAUGAAAGUAAUAAGGUAAUUGGAAAUUAUGUAUAGUUAAGACUACUAAGAAGAGUAUUUCAAGUAAUUUUGAAUUGGAAUUCAGAUUAUAUUCUUUUCAUAUGGAUAAAACCUAUUAGGAUUUCUUGGCUACCUAUGAAACAUAAUCUCACCUUCCAUAACUAAGUGUCCGGUGCAUUCUUGAGCAAAACAACAUGUAAUACGACAACGACAUAGGAUUUUGCACUAUAGGUUAUAUUCUAUGAUUUUUGAAAUCUAUAGCAUCGACCUUUUUUGCAAUUAUAAUUGUAUCUUCAAAUUUUUAUAGAUUCUUUAAUUCCACCUUUCAUUGAACCACAUGUUUCAACUCUCGAACAAAUCAAUCCAUUAUCUCUGCCUCUAAAACAUUAUUAGUUUGAAGAUACAUGGACUUGAAUCACGAGAUAUAAUCUUAUAUUGACUUAGAUUAAAUAAGAUUAGC
rnacentral:lncRNA from 1 species